rnacentral:rRNA from 1 species
CCUACGGGAGGCAGCAGUGGGGGAUAUUGCACAAUGGGGGAAACCCUGAUGCAGCGACGCCGCGUGUGGGAAGACGGUCCUCUGGAUUGUAAACCACUGUCCCCAGGGACGAAGAUGACGGUACCUGGGGAGGAAGCUCCGGCUAACUACGUGCCAGCAGCCGCGGUAAUACGUAGGGAGCGAGCGUUGUCCGGAAUUACUGGGUGAAAAGGGAGCGUAGGGGGAACUGCAAGUUGGGUGUAAAAUCUACCGGCUCAACCGGUAGCCGCACUCAAAACUGCAGUUCUUGAGUGAAGUAGAGGCAGGCGGAAUUCCUAGUGUAGCGGUGAAAUGCGUAGAUAUUAGGAGGAACACCAGUGGCGAAGGCGGCCUGCUGGGCUUUUACUGACGCUGAGGCUCGAAAGUGUGGGGAGCAAACAGGAUUAGAUACCCGAGUAGUC